rnacentral:rRNA from 1 species
GAUGAACGCUGGCGGCGUGCCUAAUACAUGCAAGUAGAACGGUGAAGGAGGGGCUUGGUGUGCUGGAUGAGUGGCGAACGGGUGAGUAACGCGUGGGUAACCUGCCUGGGAGUGGGGGAUAACUAUUGGAAACGAUAGCUAAUACCGCAUGACAACAGUUGUUGCAUGGUAACGGUUGGAAAGGUGCGACUGCUGGAGUAGGAGAUGCAGCUGCGUAGUAUGAGCUAGUUGGUGAGGUAACGGCUCACCAAGGCGACGAUACAUAGCCGACCUGAGAGGGUGAUCGGCCACACUGGGACUGAGACACGGCCCAGACUCCUACGGGAGGCAGCAGUAGGGAAUCUUCGGCAAUGGACGGAAGUCUGACCGAGCAACGCCGCGUGAGUGAAGAAGGUUUUCGGAUCGUAAAGCUCUGUUGUAAGAGAAGAACGAGUGUGAGAGUGGAAAGUUCACACUGUGACGGUAUCUUACCAGAAAGGGACGGCUAACUACGUG